GACGAACGCUGGCGGCGUGCUUAACACAUGCAAGUCGAACGGCAAGGCCCUGCUUUUUUGGGGUGCUCGGGUGGCGAACGGGUGAGUAACACGUGAGUAACCUGCCCUUGACUUUGGGAGAACUUCAGGAAACUGGGGCUAAUCCCAGAUAGCAGCUCCUGCUGCAUGGUGGGGGGUGGAACGUUUCGGCUGUUGGGGCUGGACUCGCGGCUUAUGAGCUUGUUGGUGGGGGAGUGGCUGACCAAGGGUUUGACGGAUAGCCGGCCUGAGAGGGUGGCCGGCCACAAGAGUACUACGAGAGGGCCCAGUCUCCUACGGGAGGCAGCAGGGGGGAGUAUGGCACAGCGGGCGCGAGUCUGAUACAAAAGCGCCGCGUGCGGGAUGACGGUCUGCGGGUUGAAAAAAGCAUUCGGCUAUGACGAAGCGGGAGUGACGGUAAUGGAUAAAGAAGCACCGGCUAACUUCGUG
rnacentral:rRNA from 1 species